GGACCCGCACAAGUAGUGGAGCAUGUGGUUUAAUUCGAAGAUACGCGCAGAACCUUACCAACACUUGACAUGUUCGUCGCGACUCUAAGAGAUUAGAGUUUUCGGUUCGGCCGGACGAAACACAGGUGCUGCAUGGCUGUCGUCAGCUCGUGUCGUGAGAUGUUGGGUUAAGUCCCGCAACGAGCGCAACCCUCACUUUUUAGUUGCCAUCAUUUAGUUGGGCACUCUGAAAGAACUGCCAGUGAUAAGCUGGAGGAAGGUGGGGAUGACGUCAAGUCCUCAUGGCCCUUACGUGUUGGGCUACACACGUGCUACAAUGGGUAUCUACAACAGGAAAGCAAGACUGCGAAGUU
rnacentral:rRNA from 1 species